rnacentral:rRNA from 1 species
CGCGAUGACUCCUACGGGAGGCAGCAGUGGGGAAUAUUGCACAAUGGGGGAAACCCUGAUGCAGCCAUGCCGCGUGUGUGAAGAAGGCCUUCGGGUUGUAAAGCACUUUCAGUAGGGAGGAAGGUAGUGUAGUUAACACCUGCAUUAUUUGACGUUACCUACAGAAGAAGCACCGGCUAACUCCGUGCCAGCAGCCGCGGUAAUACGGAGGGUGCGAGCGUUAAUCGGAAUUACUGGGCGUAAAGCGCAUGCAGGCGGCCUGUUAAGUCAGAUGUGAAAGCCCGGGGCUUAACCUCGGAAUUGCAUUUGAAACUGGCAGGCUAGAGUCUUGUAGAGGGGGUAGAAUUUCAGGUGUAGCGGUGAAAUGCGUAGAGAUCUGAAGGAAUACCAGUGGCGAAGGCGGCCCCCUGGACAAAGACUGACGCUCAGAUGCGAAAGCGUGGGGAGCAAACAGGAUUAGAUACCCUGGUAG